rnacentral:piRNA from 1 species
UAUGAUAAAUCCAAAACGUUU